CUGUAAACAUCAAUGUGGUAUUUUUGGCAGAUGGAGUGGUUCUAUUUUGUUGGUUUUUGGAUCUGAGGUCAUAAUUAAGAGGGGUGCUUGGGGCAUUCGUAUUGUGCCACUAAAUGUGAAAUUCUUGGAUCGGUGCAAGACAGACCAGAGGGAAACUAUUUGCCAAGAAUAUUUUCAUUAAUCAAGAAAACAGUCAGAGGUUCGAAGAUGAUCAGAUACCAUCAAAGUUCUGACCACAAACAAUGCCAACUGGAGAUGCAGUGGUUUUA
rnacentral:ncRNA from 1 species